AUAGGAACAGCUGGGAGCACCCAAGACACUGGCAGUUGGAAAAGUGAUGGAGGACAAGUAGGACCUCGGGGGCAAGUAAAAGCAAGAAGCACUUGAAAAAGGAAAGCAAUGUUAAGAUGACCUGGAGGGAAGAAAAAGAGAUUUGGGAGAAGAGCCAUGCCCAAAAGACCAGCAAAAGGACUUUUCCAAUGGAAUCUGUUCUAAUGCCCCAAGUUCCACGUGGCAAUUACUUGCAUCUUCAGGAAGAGAAGCAAAGACUACAGCUCAAGAAAUUCCUUCUUCAUAGGAUGUUUCUUGUGGCCAAGAUAACAGCAAACACAGAAAAAAAAAUUAUUGCUGACUACUAUGAACAAGUGCUUCAGUCAACUUUAAAACUUCACAAAGGAGAAGCAGUGACAGGGUUUUUGCUCAUCUAUCCUACUUCUAUUCUGCAUAUUCUUGAGUCCUCCAGUGAUACGCUUUACCAAAUUCUUUUAGAUCAUCUUGACCAGAGAAAGAAUGAUACAGAAUUUUUUAUCCAAGGGAUGAAAAUUAUAGUUGUGUCCCAUAACAUCCCGACAAGACUCUUCAUGCAAUGGCAUGUAUCAGAAAUAAAAGCUCCAGUCAUGUAUCUCGAUGAUGUCACACAGACACAGUCCCUAGAAGAGGUCAUCACCGAGUUUCUCACCCAGACUCAUAAACUGUCAAUUCACCUUUUAAAGACUGUGAAAGUGAGUGCUAAAGGACCAGGGGAUAACUUGCACCAACUAGCACCUGAAUUGCUCAUCCCAGAACAAAUAAUAAAGUACUUGUGCAAAUCUCAAGAAUUCAUGGAUCCAGAAGCUUUCCUAAACAUGUAUAAUAAACCCAUACAUAUCACUUUGGAUUCUGAGGUGGUAUGGCCUGCUCCUUCCCAUUUCUAGGAUUGAGAGAGAUGUGGUUAAUGUGGUCCAGUCUCUCAAGGAAUUGAUGCUACUUAAAUAAAAAGAAAACACUUCUGAGGGGACUCUUCUCUUGAAAAAAGAAAGGACCAUACGCCACAAUAUACACAAAGUCAAUGAGAAGCUGCACCACCCAGAAUCAAAUUUCAGGAAAAACAAUUUUGUUCUUGGAAUAUAAAAUUUAGGGGGGAAAUACCAUCACUGAGUUGCUUGCAACGUACAUUUAGAGGAAAGUAUGUGUAAAAGCAACUAUGACUCAAUGAAUGAAUCCAAGAAUGACCAAGGGGACAGAGUUUUAUUGAAUGCCUCCUGAACUACAGACUCUGCAGUACCCAGGUGCUGUCAUUUAAAUGGCAGUCUCCUGCUGCCAGGAGACUCAAAAAAAGAAAAACAGAUAUGUGAACCAACAAUUUAAAUGCCAUUAUACUGUAAUAAAGGGAUGUGAAAAUCAUCAUGGUGGCACACAGAGAGAAUAAUCAAUUCUCCAAGAAAUGCUUUCACAUCUGAGCCUUGGAAUCUGAAGGUCCUGGAUCCAAGCCCAAGCUCUCUGACACUCAGGAGUUGUGAAAUGGGGAGCUUCAUCUCAUCUGCAAAACGAAGCCAAUAGUGCCAACAUUUUAAAAUUGUUUUAAACAUUAAAUAAAACAAUGCAUGAAAGGCGUGCUUCGGCCUAGUAUGUCUGACAUAAAAUGAGUGCUUCUAACCUGCUGCUGUAACUGUGACCUGGGAAUUAGGGAAGAAUUUAGAACUCCAGGGCAGCUUCAUGGAGGAUACUCACAGGACUUACCAGUGGGAAAAGGAAAGGAUAGAGAAUAAGAAAAUCACAAAAUCUUCCUCUGCCCCGGCCUCUGAAUUACAAAUCAAGGCAGCAUUGGUGAGUGGCCACUGGUUCACUAAUUCCCUAUUGUUAGUGUGUACAACACACUCAUGGGCUCCUUGUUUGAAGUGCAGAUCCCCGGCCCCACCCCAGGCAUUCUGAUUCUAUCAAGUCUAGUCUGGGGACAUCAAAUUCUGCAGUUUAACCCCUUUUAGACAGUAACUGAAGAAGAGGAGCUCUACAGACAGUUCUAACUCGAUUUUACUACAAGUAGCUAAAUUGCCAUAUUUGGCUUGUAAUUUAAGUCUUAUCGUUCAUCUUUAUGUUCUAGAAUCAGGAGAAAGUGACACAUAUACACACAAAAAAGUACUUACUACUGAUUGCAUUUAAAGCAGCCAACUUGAUGGCCUUUCUCUAGAAUAUUCACAUUUUAACCCCAAUUUUUGAAAAAUGAACCAUAAUGGCAAAGAUUGGAAAUGUCCUCUUCUGAGACAUUUGUCAUACAGGUUUAUUUGUAUAAUGUGUGUUUUCCAUUCUAGACUGUAAAUUCCAUUCAGGCAGACAACAGGGGCACCGGAUUUGCAUCAGUAGCCCCCUCAGCUCACACAAUGCCAGACAAAGUUAAUCAAGAAGCAUUUUGUUUUUAGAAAAAUGGAAAAUGCUUGCAUUCUUUGGCAGGAGAAGGAAUGGCAGAAGAAUCACAGGGCAGGAGUAGACAGGAGAAAUAUUUAGGAAGUACAAUGAGCAGGUGUACCGAUCUGAUGAGGCAUUAAAGAAAAACACUCUCAAGCUUCAAGCCUAUGUUGUUGGAUGAAAACGAUGUCCCCAACCAAGGAAGAACACACCUGAUGGAAGAUAUAUUUUUAAAGGUUAUGUGUCUGAGAUGUCUGUGAGAGAUAACAACGAGUGAAGGACUACACAUGUAUAUGAACCUAAAAUUCUAAGGUGUGGUGAGCAGAAUAACAGCCCCCAUCAAUGCCCGUGAUCAAAUUCUCAGAACCCAUAAAUUCUAUCUCACAUGUCAAAAAGGUCUUUGCAGAUACGAUUAAAACUAAGAACCUUGAGAGGAGGAGCGACUCCUGGAUAGAUAGGUCCAGUCUAAACACGUGAAUCUUUUAAGGCAAAGAGUUUUUUCCAGCUGUGGAGAAUCAGAGAGAUGGUACCAGGAAAGAAACUUGCUGGCUUUGAAAAAUGGAGAGGGGUAAUCAUAAGGCAAGGAAUACAGGCAAAUUCUAGAAGCUGGAGGAGGAAAUGGAUUCUGCCUUAAAGCCUCCAGAAAGGAAGGCAGCCCUUCCUGUCCCUUGAUUUUAGUCCAUUGAGAUCUCCGUAUGACUUC